rnacentral:rRNA from 1 species
GACGAACGCUGGCGGCGUGCUUAACACAUGCAAGUCGAACGGAAAGGCCCCCUUGUGGGGUACUCGAGUGGCGAACGGGUGAGUAACACGUGAGUAACCUACCCUUGACUUUGGGAUAACUUCAGGAAACUGGGGCUAAUACCGGAUAGGAGCUCCUGCUGCAUGGUGGGGGUUGGAAAGUUUCGGCGGUUGGGGAUGGACUCGCGGCUUAUCAGCUUGUUGGUGGGGUAGUGGCUCACCAAGGCUAUGACGGGUAGCCGGCCUGAGAGGGUGACCGGCCACAUUGGGACUGAGAUACGGCCCAGACUCCUACGGGAGGCAGCAGUGGGGAAUAUUGCACAAUGGGCGGAAGCCUGAUGCAGCAACGCCGCGUGCGGGAUGACGGCCUUCGGGUUGUAAACCGCUUUCGCCUGUGACGAAGCGUGAGUGACGGUAAUGGGUAAAGAAGCACCGGCUAACUACGUG